rnacentral:rRNA from 1 species
GACGAACGCUGGCGGCGUGCCUAAUACAUGCAAGUAGAACGCACAGUUUAUACCGUAGCUUGCUACACCAUAGACUGUGAGUUGCGUACGGGGGAGUUACGCGUAGCUAACCUGCGUGGUAGCGGGGGAUAACUAUGGCAAACGAUAGCUAGUACCGCAUAAUAUUAAUUAUUGCUUGAUAAUUAAUUGAAGGGUGCAAUGGAACCACUACCAGAUGGACUGGCGGUGUAUUAGUUAGUAGGCGAGGUAACGGCGCACCUAGGCGGGGAGACAUAGCCGCCCUGAGAGGGUGGUCGGCCACACUGGGAGUGUGACACGGCCCAGACGGCUUGAGGAGGCAGCAGUAGGGAAACUUGAGGAAUGGACGAAAGUCUGAGCGAGCAACGCGGCGGGAGUGAGGAAGGUCUUCGGAUGGUGAAGCUCUGUUGUAGGGGAAGAACGGGUGUGAGCGUGGAAAGUUCAGACUGUGACGGUAUCUUAUCAGAAAGGGACGGCUAACUACGUG